rnacentral:tRNA from 1 species
CGGCCUGUAGCUCAGUAUAAGAGCGCUUGCCUGAUAAGCAAGAGGCGCUGGUUAAAUUCCAGUCGGGUCCA